GGCUGGUUAGCUCAGUCGGCUGAGCGUGGCGCUAACACCACCAAGGUGGCGGGUUCAAUUCCCGUUCGGUCC
rfam:Apaloderma vittatum contig50909, whole genome shotgun sequence.